rnacentral:rRNA from 1 species
AUGGCCCUUGUGUCUGUGAUUGGCGCGAGCAUCGCGGAUGUCAGGGUGGUCUGUCAGUUUGUGAACAAUGUUGAUGCCGAUCAUACAGUCUCUCGUGAUUCUUCCCCGCCCAAGCAAGCGCCUCUGUCGACCGUGUUGGUGGCUGACUCUACUGCGAAUGAAGCUCUCUGCAUUUGCUCUCCGGCUAGGCCCGUGCUCCCCUCGUCGACUUCAUCUGCAUCGUGCCCUCCAGGAUUUGAGGCCUCUCCCUUGAUGAGCUCCGCUACGCAGACUCCGCCCUUCAUCACCGACGCUUGCCGCACACCAUGCAGCGUUGCAGCUGAGGAUGACUGCUACCCUGCUGCUGAUUUGGUUGUGGUGUCCCGUCACCGCUCUGCCGAGCCUGCCCCGGCCGUGGGGCAUGCCGCGGUGCUCCUGGGCUCUGGCUCUGCAAGUGGGGACGCGGCACGCGCCGUCGAAUCGCUGCCUGUGCUUGCCCCUCCUUUGGCCACUGAUGGGCACGGCCGGAGCCCGGCGGGUCCGACGCCUCCCCUGAUGUCCAGUGGUCCGUUUCGGCGCACACCAUCGCCGGUGCGGCUGCGCAGGGCUGCCGUUGCUGCUGGUGGUGCGGUGGGCUUGCAGUGCCUCGCGCCACUUUUCGAAGAGCGCCAAGACGCCAUCCUGCCCUCCCCUACCCCAACACCUGACAGGGCGCCAGUGGCUCGUCGGAAAACAAUGGCUGGGAUCAACAUCUCCAAGACCGGUGGAAGCUUCUCCAUCAGCAAACCGCGGGCUGCAGGCCGCCCAAAGGCGCCUCCGGCGGCCAGGGCGGCUGAGCUGCUAGUGUGCCGCACCUUAGGCAUUGUCAAGGAUGGGGAAGACGUCACUAACUCCGCGAUGGAUGCCUUCGCGGAGCGAUUCAAGGAGCAGCUGCCGUCUGACGUGAUCGUGGCCAUGCGAGGGCUGUUUAAGCUCGACAGCGACAACGCGACGGAUGUUGAGGAGGCCCUCAUUGCGCAUGGAGGGGGAGGUGCUCUCGAUCUGGAGACGAGCGAUGCCGGCACCGCGGCUCAGCAGGCGGCCACCUGA